UAAAUGACUCUCGACAACGGAUAUCUUGGCUCUUGCAUCGAU
rnacentral:rRNA from 2 species